UACGUAGGGGGCAAGCGUUGUCCGGAAUCAUUGGGCGUAAAGAGCGUGUAGGCGGCCUGAUAAGUCGGCUGUGAAAGUCAAGGGCUCAACCCUUGAAUGCCGGCCGAUACCGUCAGGCUAGAGUCCGGAAGAGGCGAGUGGAAUUCCUGGUGUAGCGGUGAAAUGCGCAGAUAUCAGGAGGAACACCUAUUGCGAAGGCAGCUCGCUGGGACGUAACUGACGCUGAGGAGCGAACGACUGGGGAGCGAACAGG
rnacentral:rRNA from 1 species